UGUGGUUUAAUUCGAUGCAACGCGAAGAACCUUACCUGGUCUUGACAUCCCGGAGACCCUUAGGAAACUAGGGGUGCUUCCAUCUGGAAGAAUCUGGAGACAGUGCUGCAUGGCUGUCGUCAGCUCGUGUCGUGAGAUGUUGGGUUAAGUCCCGCAACGAGCGCAACCCUUGCCUUUAGUUGCCAGCAGUUCGGCUGGGCACUCUAAAGGGACUGCCGGUGUUAAACCGGAGGAAGUGGGGAUGACGUCAAGUCCUCAUGGCCUUUAUGACCAGGGCUACACACGUACUACAAUGGCCGAUACAAAGGGCAGCGACACUGCGAGGUGAAGCCAAUCCCGUAAAAUCGGUCUCAGUCCGGAUUGGAGUCUGCAACUCGACUCCAUGAAGUUGGAAUCGCUAGUAAUCGUGGAUCAGCAUGCCACGGUGAAUACGUUCCCGGGCCUU
rnacentral:rRNA from 1 species